rnacentral:tRNA from 1 species
AAGUUGAUGGGGUCUGGUGGCCCUCUCGGUCUUCAAAACCGAUGUGAGCUAAAGCAGCUUAGGCAGGUUCGAUUCCUGCCUCUU